GCCGUGAUCGUCUAGUGGUUAGGACCCUACGUUGUGGAACUUCGUGGAUCCGUAGUAACCCAGGUUCGAAUCCUGGUCACGGCA
rfam:Daphnia magna strain Xinb3 scaffold00640, whole genome shotgun sequence.